rnacentral:rRNA from 1 species
GACAGAGGGUGCAAACGUUGUUCGGAAUUACUGGGCGUAAAGCGAGUGUAGGCGGUCUGAAAAAGUCGGGUGUGAAAGCCCGGGGCUCACCCCCCGGAAGUGCAUUGGAAACUGAUGGACUCGAGUCCGGAGAGGAGAGUGGAAUUCCGAGGUGUAGCGGUGAAAUGACGUAGAUAUCUGGAGGAACACCGGUGGCGAAGGCGACGUCCUGGACCGGCAUUGACGCUGAGGCGCGAAAGCCAGGGGAAGCAAAGCGGGG